rnacentral:rRNA from 1 species
UCCGUAGGUGGAUAAUUAAGUCAGAGGUGAAAUCCUGCAGCUCAACUGUAGAAUUGCCUUUGAUACUGGUUAUCUUGAGUCAUUAUGAAGUGGUUAGAAUGUGUAGUGUAGCGGUGAAAUGCAUAGAUAUUACACCGAAUACCGAUUGCGAAGGCAGAUCACUAAUAAUGUACUGACACUGAUGGACGAAAGCGUGGGGAGCGAACAGGAUUAGAUACCCUGGUAGUCC